rnacentral:lncRNA from 10 species
GUGGGCUGCGCCCAUGAAUACUCUCCCCAGGUGGCAGCACCCGACGUGACAUGGCAAAAGCAUGCUGUGGACAAGCAGAAAAUUGAUGUGGAGCUAUGGACUGUUUGCCCGCCAAUGUCUACAACAGGGAAGAAAAUACGAGAGAAAAUGGUCAGGAGAACAGGUAGCCCAAAAAACAAGGGAAAAAGAACUACCACCACAUGGUUCAAUAGAGAGAACUAACUAUGGAGAACUUGUCACGGAAGUGUUGGAAUUGCUGAGAAGCCACACAAGGGAUGCUGAGGCAAUCAGAGAGGAGCUACAGCAGAAAGUGACUGCCACUUUCAAGGGCUGCAGGGACAGAGGGAGGAAGUUGAUUGACCAGAAUGGAGGUGGUACUACCUGUGGGAGCUGAACCCAUGAGGUGGGCUGCCUGGUGGGAGCUGGGACCUGGGAGGGACCUGGAGUUGUCUGGGAGGAGAUGAAGUCACUGCCAGAGGAGCCACCUCGCAAGCUUCUUUCUUCCUCCUACCACCAAGCUCCAGCCAAUGAGUCCUGUUAAACCAACUCAGCCAGAUGCCGGCUGCAAGGGAGCAUGGACUCCACAGAUGCCAGGGGUCGGCCUCUUCUGUACAGAGCAGAGCAGAGGACAGGAAAUGGGCCAGAGAGCGAACUGCAAGAUAGCACAUCCUUGAUGGUCAGUGCUUGUUGGGUCUUCCUUCUUUAAAACUCGUUUCUACUAUGAGGACAUGAAUAUAUUCUUCUAUGUUAUCUCCUACCAGCUGGACAUAAGGUUUCACAUUUAAGUGAACAAUCCAUCUGGAAUUGGUAUUCAUAUAUAGCGUGAGGUAGGGAUGAAAUUGCAAUUUUCUGUUUAUGAAAUGUUGAUUUACCUCAGCACUGUGUACCAAAAAUACCAUUGUUUCCCCCGUUCUGUUAUGCUAACUUUGUCACAAGUUAACUGUAUAUGAAUGGUCUGUUUCUGGAUUCUCUACUCUGUUCCAAUUGUCUGUUUUUUAUUCCUAUGCUAAUGUUAUAAUUUUUUUGUAUUAUUGCUUUAUAAUAAAUUGUGUCCUUUUUCUGGUAGAGCAGGUCCUCCCACUUUUUUGCAUGAGGAUUUUUCAGUUAUUGGCUUUCUAUAUUUCUAUAUAAAUUUUAGAAUCAGUUUUUCAAGUUCCAUAAAAAAUAUCCUCAACUGAGGUUUUGACUGGGAUGACCUUGAACCUAUAAAUCAAGUUGGAGAAAAUUAACAUCUUUAAAAUGAAUUUUCCAAUUGAUAAAUAUGGUAUGCCUUUAAUGUUUCUUAAUACAGUUUUGUAAUUUUCCCUGUGUCUUUUAUGAAGUUACUAGACACUUUUAUGGUCCUGACACAUAGAAAUACAAUUUAUUUUUACACUUUUUAUGCAACGAACUUGCUGAAUUUUACUUAACAUUCUAAUAGUUGAUCUGGGCAUUCUUUUGGAUUUUCCAUAUACUCAAAUAUGUCAUCUGCACAUAAUAAUGACUUGUUUCUCCCUUUUCAAUAAUUAAAAAUUAUAAUCCUAUACUGGCUGGGGAUUCCACUACAAUGUGAAAUAUAAGAGGUGAUCUCAGACAUCUUUGUUUCAUUCCCAAUUUCAAAGGAAAUUUUCAGGAUGACUCAAUUAAAUAGAAUAUUAGCUGUAUGGUUUUAUUGAUAAUGUUUACCCAGCUCAGGAAGUUUCCUUCCAUUUCUCAUUUUCUUAGAGUCUGUGUAUAUUAAUAAAAUAUAAAUGGAUGUGAUAAUUACAAAUAAUAAAUAAAUAAUUACAAAUCAAUGUUGAAUUUUGUCAGGUGCUGUUUUGCACCUCCUAAGGACAUCACAUGAUACAUUCCCUGAAAUCUCUCAACAUGGUGAAUUAUAUUGAUUAAUUCUCUGGCAAUCUCA